rnacentral:rRNA from 1 species
AUUGAACGCUGGCGGCAGGCCUAACACAUGCAAGUCGAACGGUAACAGGAAACAGCUUGCUGUUUCGCUGACGAGUGGCGGACGGGUGAGUAAUGUCUGGGAAACUGCCUGAUGGAGGGGGAUAACUACUGGAAACGGUAGCUAAUACCGCAUAACGUCGCAAGACCAAAGAGGGGGACCUUCGGGCCUCUUGCCAUCGGAUGUGCCCAGAUGGGAUUAGCCUGUUGGUGGGGUAACGGCUCACCAAGGCGACGAUCCCUAGCUGGUCUGAGAGGAUGACCAGCCACACUGGAACUGAGACACGGUCCAGACUCCUACGGGAGGCAGCAGUGGGGAAUAUUGCACAAUGGGCGCAAGCCUGAUGCAGCCAUGCCGCGUGUAUGAAGAAGGCCUUCGGGUUGUAAAGUACUUUCAGCGGGGAGGAAGGGAGUAAAGUUAAUACCUUUACUCAUUGACGUUACCCGCAGAAGAGGCACCGGCUAACUCCGUGCCAGCCGCCGCCGUAA